AGUGAACGCUGGCGGCAGGCCUAACACAUGCAAGUCGAACGGCAGCACGGCAGUAGCAAUACUGUGGGUGGCGAGUGGCGGACGGGUGAGGAAUACAUCGGGAUCUACCCUGUUGUGGGGGAUAACGUAGGGAAACUUACGCUAAUACCGCAUAAGAACUGAGGUUGAAAGCGGCGGACCGCAAGGCGUCGCGCGAUUGGAUGAACCGAUGUCCGAUUAGCUAGUUGGCGGGUAAAGGCCCACCAAGGCGACGAUCGGUAGCUGGUCUGAGAGGAUGAUCAGCCACACUGGGACUGAGACACGGCCCAGACUCCUACGGGAGGCAGUAGUGGGGAAUUUUGGACAAUGGGCGAAAGCCUGAUCCAGCCAUUCCGCGUGAGUGAAGAAGGCCUCGGUU
rnacentral:rRNA from 1 species